AUACUCGGGUAAUCGCUGUAUAGGUUUCUAUACAGAGGAAAGUCCAUGCUCGCACAAGCUGCGAUGCUUGUAGUGUUCGUGCUUGACGAAACCAUAAGUCAAGGGAGUUCUUUAGAACUUACGGCAGGGAAAAUUCCUAAGUCUUUGAUAUGGAAUGACUACCUUGAAAGUGCCACAGUGACGGAGCCGGAGUAGAAAUACUUCGGGUGGAACGAGGUAAACCCCACGAGCGAGCAACCCAAAUAUAGGUAGGGGCACUUUUCAAUGGGAAAUGAACCAGAGAAAAGGCCGUUUGACGGCAGAUAGAUGAUUGCCACCGGAGUACGAGGUUGACCACCGUUUGCAGUACAAUGGCACAGAACAUGGCUUACAGAG
rnacentral:RNase_P_RNA from 2 species